rnacentral:rRNA from 1 species
AUGAACGCUAGCGACAGGCUUAACACAUGCAAGUCGAGGGGCAUCAGGAAGAAAGCUUGCUUUCUUUGCUGGCGACCGGCGCACGGGUGAGUAACACGUAUCCAACCUGCCCUUUACUCGGGGAUAGCCUUUCGAAAGAAAGAUUAAUACCCGAUGGCAUAAUGAUUCCGCAUGGUUUCAUUAUUAAAGGAUUCCGGUAAAGGAUGGGGAUGCGUUCCAUUAGGUUGUUGGUGAGGUAACGGCUCACCAAGCCUUCGAUGGAUAGGGGUUCUGAGAGGAAGGUCCCCCACAUUGGAACUGAGACACGGUCCAAACUCCUACGGGAGGCAGCAGUGAGGAAUAUUGGUCAAUGGGCGCUAGCCUGAACCAGCCAAGUAGCGUGAAGGAUGAAGGCUCUAUGGGUCGUAAACUUCUUUUAUAUAAGAAUAAAGUGCAGUAUGUAUACUGUUUUGUAUGUAUUAUAUGAAUAAGGAUCGGCUAACUCCGUGCCAGCAGCCGCGGUAAUACGGAGGAUCCGAGCGUUAUCCGGAUUUAUUGGGUUUAAAGGGAGCGUAGGUGGACUGGUAAGUCAGUUGUGAAAGUUUGCGGCUCAACCGUAAAAUUGCAGUUGAUACUGUCAGUCUUGAGUACAGUAGAGGUGGGCGGAAUUCGUGGUGUAGCGGUGAAAUGCUUAGAUAUCACGAAGAACUCCGAUUGCGAAGGCAGCUCACUGGACUGCAACUGACACUGAUGCUCGAAAGUGUGGGUAUCAAACAGGAUUAGAUACCCUGGUAGUCCACACAGUAAACGAUGAAUACUCGCUGUUUGCGAUAUACAGUAAGCGGCCAAGCGAAAGCAUUAAGUAUUCCACCUGGGGAGUACGCCGGCAACGGUGAAACUCAAAGGAAUUGACGGGGGCCCGCACAAGCGGAGGAACAUGUGGUUUAAUUCGAUGAUACGCGAGGAACCUUACCCGGGCUUAAAUUGCAGUGGAAUGAUGUGGAAACAUGUCAGUGAGCAAUCACCGCUGUGAAGGUGCUGCAUGGUUGUCGUCAGCUCGUGCCGUGAGGUGUCGGCUUAAGUGCCAUAACGAGCGCAACCCUUAUCUUUAGUUACUAACAGGUUAUGCUGAGGACUCUAGAGAGACUGCCGUCGUAAGAUGUGAGGAAGGUGGGGAUGACGUCAAAUCAGCACGGCCCUUACGUCCGGGGCUACACACGUGUUACAAUGGGGGGUACAGAAGGCAGCUAGCGGGUGACCGUAUGCUAAUCCCAAAAGCCUCUCUCAGUUCGGAUCGAAGUCUGCAACCCGACUUCGUGAAGCUGGAUUCGCUAGUAAUCGCGCAUCAGCCACGGCGCGGUGAAUACGUUCCCGGGCCUUGUACACACCGCCCGUCAAGCCAUGGGAGCCGGGGGUACCUGAAGUACGUAACCGCAAGGAUCGUCCUAGGGUAAAACUGGUGACUGGGGCUAAGU